rnacentral:rRNA from 1 species
AUUCUGGCUCAGGAUGAACGCUGGCGGCGUGCUUAACACAUGCAAGUCGAACGGGAUCCAUCAGGCUUUGCUUGGUGGUGAGAGUGGCGAACGGGUGAGUAAUGCGUGACCGACCUGCCCCAUACACCGGAAUAGCUCCUGGAAACGGGUGGUAAUGCCGGAUGCUCCGACUCCUCGCAUGGGGUGUCGGGAAAGAUUUCAUCGGUAUGGGAUGGGGUCGCGUCCUAUCAGGUAGUCGGCGGGGUAACGGCCCACCGAGCCUACGACGGGUAGCCGGCCUGAGAGGGCGACCGGCCACAUUGGGACUGAGAUACGGCCCAGACUCCUACGGGAGGCAGCAGUGGGGAAUAUUGCACAAUGGGCGCAAGCCUGAUGCAGCGACGCCGCGUGAGGGAUGGAGGCCUUCGGGUUGUAAACCUCUUUUAUCGGGGAGCAAGCGAGAGUGAGUUUACCCGUUGAAUAAGCACCGGCUAACUACGUGCCAGCAGCCGCGGUAAUACGUAGGGUGCAAGCGUUAUCCGGAAUUAUUGGGCGUAAAGGGCUCGUAGGCGGUUCGUCGCGUCCGGUGUGAAAGUCCAUCGCUUAACGGUGGAUCUGCGCCGGGUACGGGCGGGCUGGAGUGCGGUAGGGGAGACUGGAAUUCCCGGUGUAACGGUGGAAUGUGUAGAUAUCGGGAAGAACACCAAUGGCGAAGGCAGGUCUCUGGGCCGUUACUGACGCUGAGGAGCGAAAGCGUGGGGAGCGAACAGGAUUAGAUACCCUGGUAGUCCACGCCGUAAACGGUGGAUGCUGGAUGUGGGGCCCGUUCCACGGGUUCCGUGUCGGAGCUAACGCGUUAAGCAUCCCGCCUGGGGAGUACGGCCGCAAGGCUAAAACUCAAAGAAAUUGACGGGGGCCCGCACAAGCGGCGGAGCAUGCGGAUUAAUUCGAUGCAACGCGAAGAACCUUACCUGGGCUUGACAUGUUCCCGACCGCGGCAGAGAUGUCGUUUCCCUUCGGGGCGGGUUCACAGGUGGUGCAUGGUCGUCGUCAGCUCGUGUCGUGAGAUGUUGGGUUAAGUCCCGCAACGAGCGCAACCCUCGCCCUGUGUUGCCAGCACGUCAUGGUGGGAACUCACGGGGGACCGCCGGGGUCAACUCGGAGGAAGGUGGGGAUGACGUCAGAUCAUCAUGCCCCUUACGUCCAGGGCUUCACGCAUGCUACAAUGGCCGGUACAACGGGAUGCGAC